UCUUCUCGAAUCACCAUGUUGUAGCUACUGCAGGCUGCGACGUAGAUGAUCGCUGUGACAUCUUGGAGGGGGAAAGAGAAAAAGGAAAGCACCUCAGGAAGCUGCAAAGAAAGGCAGCAAGGGUUGAGGCCUGUUCUCUGCUCACUUUCCUCUGGGGUUGGGGGGAAAUUAAUGGGACGUUCAGUCAAGUAAAGCAAGGAUGGGGCAGACCAAGAGGCCGAGGUCAUGAAAUUUUCCAUGAGAAACGUGCCUGCCCUGUACCAGGAAGAGGAGAAUGUUCUCAUCACUAGGGACUGGGAGCUCACCCCGAAAUGGAUCUGUACAAACCCACUAAAAUAACCCUUGUCUUUCAUUAGUCACUGCCCCACAAUGACUGCCCCUAGAAACUUGAAGCUUUCUCCUUUGUCACUUCUCCAUAAAUUUAUCAUCUUUUGUUAGAAGAGUAUGUAUGCUGUUAGUCCUAACGGCUUCUUCGGGUCUUCAUUUUUCUUAUGAAAGUUCAC